rnacentral:rRNA from 1 species
UGCAAGUCGAGGGGCAGCAUUUUUGAAGCUGUGCUUCAAAAGAUGGCGACCGGCGCACGGGUGAGUAACGCGUAUGGAACCAACCCGCAACAGGGGGAUAACCCGGAGAAAUCCGGACUAAUACCGCAUGGUACUCUUUGCACAGAAGUGUGAAGAUUUAAAGAUGCGAAUCGGUUGCGGACGGUCAUGCGUUCCAUUAGCUAGUUGGCGGGGUAACGGCCCACCAAGGCGACGAUGGAUAGGGGUUCUGAGAGGAAGGUCCCCCACACUGGUACUGAGACACGGACCAGACUCCUACGGGAGGCAGCAGUGAGGAAUAUUGGUCAAUGGGCGAGAGCCUGAACCAGCCAAGUCGCGUGAGGGAAGACGGCCCUAUGGGUUGUAAACCUCUUUUAGAUGGGAGUAAAGUGUUCUACGAGUAGGAUAUUGCAAGUACCAUCAGAAUAAGCAUCGGCUAAUUCCGUGCCAGCAGCCGCGGUAAUACGGAAGAUGCGAGCGUUAUCCGGAUUUAUUGGGUUUAAAGGGUGCGUAGGCGGGUGAUUAAGUCAGCGGUGAAAUGCGUCAGCUUAACUGGCGAACUGCCAUUGAAACUGGUUACCUUGAGUGUAGCGGAAGUAUGCGGAAUGCGUGGUGUAGCGGUGAAAUGCAUAGAUAUCACGCAGAACUCCGAUUGCGAAGGCAGCAUACCAUACUAUAACUGACGCUGAAGCACGAAAGCGUGGGUAUCGAACAGGAUUAGAUACCCUGGUAGUCCACGCAGUAAACGAUGAAUACUCACCGUUUGCGAUAUAAUGUAAGCGGUAAAGCGAAAGCGUUAAGUAUUCCACCUGGGGAGUACGCCGGCAACGGUGAAACUCAAAGGAAUUGACGGGGG